GUACGUCAUUGCGGGCGCGACGGCCCGAGGGAUAGUGUGGGGUCUGCUUCUGUGAGGGUGCUGCGGCGGGACCGGGCGGGAAGAUGCCAGUAGCGGUGAUGGCGGAAAGUGCCUUUAGUUUCAAAAAGUUGCUGGAUCAGUGCGAGAACCAGGAGCUCGAGGCUCCUGGAGGAAUUGCUACUCCCCCAGUGUAUGGUCAGCUGUUAGCUUUGUAUCUGCUCCACAAUGACAUGAAUAAUGCAAGAUAUCUUUGGAAACGGAUACCACCUGCUAUAAAAUCUGCAAAUUCUGAACUUGGGGGAAUUUGGUCAGUAGGACAAAGAAUCUGGCAGAGAGAUUUCCCUGGGAUCUAUACGACCAUCAACGCACACCAGUGGUCUGAGACGGUCCAGCCAAUCAUGGAAGCACUUAGAGAUGCAACGAGGAGAAGAGCCUUCGCCCUGGUCUCACAAGCCUACACCUCCAUCAUCGCUGAUGACUUCGCAGCCUUUGUUGGCCUCCCUGUGGAAGAGGCUGUGAAAGGUAUAUUAGAACAAGGAUGGCAAGCCGACUCCACCACAAGAAUGGUUAUGCCCAAAAAGCCAGUUGCAGGGGCCCUGGAUGCAUCUUUUAACCGGUUUAUUCCCUUAUCAGAGCCUGCCCCAGUGCCCCCGAUCCCCAACGAACAGCAGUUAGCCAGACUGACCGAUUAUGUGGCUUUCCUCGAAAACUGAUAACAUCAUUCUGAGUUCAAGAUCCACCUUCGGAAUCCUGUAUACUGACAGAUAGAGAAAUGUAAAAUUUUUAUUUUCAAUUUCUUGGACGGAUGAAGCACCUCAGCAUUCCUUACUGAUGCCACUCUGUGUUCCUGGGAUUGAGAGACAUGGCCCAUCUACAUGUAAGCUGAAACACCUGAAUCCAUCUGUCCUUAACAUCACUCACAGUGGGACAAGUGAGCUUGCCAGGAUGGCAUGCCUUCCUGUGGUAAGUGGAAAAGUUGGAGAAGCUACAUAAGUGCAAUCAGCAUCCAAAAGCAAGCAGGUGCCGCUCUGUUGAUGCCACACAGUGGACUUGAAGGCGAGAAGCACGUUUCAUGGACAAGGUUUCCUAUUGCUGCCCUGAGUUACCACUAACAUAAU